GGCAAUGUAGUUGGUAGUUAACUGCUGGGCUCUGGAGUCAGUAUGCUUGGGUUUGAAUCUCAGCUUUGCCA
rnacentral:tRNA from 1 species